rnacentral:sRNA from 1 species
GCAGGACUAUGGGCCAGUGCCAGAGCCAGGCUUGUCUGUUCUCAAAGGAUCAGCCUCCUUUGGGGGACAUUUUGUGUCAAGGAUAGGGCUGAGGACCUGCGUUCUGAACGUCUUUCCUGGGAUUCUUGACAGCCAAAGAAAUUCGAGGAUCGCCUCUAUGAAGGUGCCAGGGAAACGGAGUCAUCGACCCAAGAAGGUCGUGGGAGAUGAGGUCCCAGGGUAAACAGCGGGUCCCGCCACUAUGUCACCCUUUCCUGCCGCCUCCCCGGAUGAACUGCAUGCAGGGCGGCCGG